rnacentral:rRNA from 1 species
UGUGGUGUUCGGGAGGGUCCAUUAUCCCGAGGUCAUGCGGCGCGUCCAAGUCCUUCUUGAACGGGGCCACAGCCCAUAGAGGGUGCCAGGCCCGUAGCGACCGCUGCUGAUCGCGGGAGGAUCUCUCCUUAGAGUCGGGUUGCUUGAGAGUGCAGCCCUAAGUGGGUGGUAAACUCCAUCUAAGGCUAAAUAUGACCACGAGACCGAUAGCGAACAAGUACCGUGAGGGAAAGUUGAAAAGCACUUUGAAGAGAGAGUUCAAGAGUACGUGAAACCGUUUAGGGGUAAACCUGAGAAACCCGAAAGGUCGAAGGGAGAAAUUCAUUCGCGUUUCGUUGCAGGCGUCGYGCGGUCGCGUGACGGGAAGCGUUCGCGCUUUCCGCGCCCUCCGUGCGUUCGAACCGGCGAUGAACGCGUGCACUUUUCUCCUGGUAGGACGUCGCGAUCCGUUGGGUGUCGGUCUACGGCUCGCGGUGGAGCCCGUUCGUACCACGUGUGCGAGCGGACCCGCGUGUCCCGGCUGACUCGCUCGACGGUAUACGGAAAGGUUGAAGGCCGCUCUCGGAGCGUUCGACUCGUGGCAAGCGCUCCAGAUGCGUCGGCGAUCGGACCUAGUGCCGAUUCUGACCUCUGGUGACUGUUGGCUACGAAUGUCUCGAACAGACCUAUCAGACCGAUCUGCGACGCUAUAGCUUUGGGUACUUUCAGGACCCGUCUUGAAACACGGACCAAGGAGUCUAGCAUGUGCGCGAGUCAUUGGGAAUCACUAAACCUAAAGGCGCAAUGAAAGUAAAGGUCUUCCUCGCGGAGACUGAGGGAGGACGGGCGGUUUACCCUUAAAAGUGGCCGCUCCGCACUCCCGGGGCGUCUCGUUCUCAUUGCGAGAAGAGGCGCACCAUGAGCGUACACGCUGGGACCCGAAAGAUGGUG